rnacentral:lncRNA from 13 species
AUGGUGUCCCCNNNNNNNNNNAUGCUAUCGGUUACAGCAGUGAUGCUAUCGGUUACAGCAGUGAUGCUAUCGGUUACAGCAGUGAUGCUAUCGGUUAUAGCAGUGAUGCUAUCGGUUACAGCAGUGAUGCUAUCGGUUACAGCAGUGAUGCUAUCGGUUAUAGCAGUGCUUUAUCUUCCACGGUGGUGUGUAAGGGUAGAAAACACACACAGCGUUGAAUGCAUAGGGGAAUGUUCUAGAAUCUUGUUCGUUAUGGGAAAAAUGUUGCCCUUGAAAGCAAAUUAUUGAGCUACAUUGUUCACCAAUGGCCCUUUACCACAAAGUAAAAGGCCAAUGCUCUUGGCAAAAAGUAAAGGGCCAAUGCUCUUGGCAAAAAGUAAAAGGCCAAUGCUCUUGGCAAAAAGUAAAAGGCCAAUGCUCUUGGCAAAAAUUAUUUUUAUAUUUUCUGAUGAUCAUUGUAAUUCAAUAAAGAGAGUUACUUUUAGUCAUUUAACCGUCUGUAUUAGCCCUUUCCUCUACGGUGUUAUGAUGUAAUGGUCCCUGUUUGAGUUGUACACAUCUGAAGCGGACGCUGGUUAACGACAGACUGAGAAAAAAAAAAAGGCUACGACAAACUGGAUUUGAUUUUGUACUUCAGAUAAUGGGCACCGACGAACACAAGCAACACUGAUAUUUGGUCAUUUAUCAAGAUAUUUUCCGUUGUGCAACAACAACAAAAAAAUGAAAAAGAAACUGCAUUUUAUACAAAUGGUUACCAUGGGUGUUGGUUACCAUGGGUGAUGGUUACCGUGGGUGAUGGUUACCGUGGGUGAUGGUUACCAUGGGUGGUUUUGUGACACUAAUUUUGCAGGAAGACUUCCUAAUGUUUUUUUGUAGAAUGUAAAAAAAAUAAUGAAAAAUAAUAAAGUUAACAAUAAAAGGGGCCUCUUUGCUUGAUAACAAUGGCUGCCAUAAAAAAAAAAAACAAGGGUCAAUUAUUUAACAUCUAUUGCCAAGUAAUAUCGAUUUAAUUUCUGAUACGAUUCAAAAACCACAAAGUCAAACAGAUUUAAGUCUUGAUCAAAAGUUUAACCUGACUAGAUUAUCAUUAUACUCAGAAAGAAAACUCCUUUUUAAAGCAACGUUAAUAAAAGGUAUUGUACACUUGAAGUUUGAAAGGUUGGCUGAGGAGUUUCCAUUCGUCUUCAGUCUAGCUUCUAGCCACCAUCUACAGUGACACCUGUCAAUCAAGUUAUGUGGUUUAAUUACUAUCUUCUAUUUUUGAUCUCACAUCGCAUCACAGAAGUUAGACUACAGAGAUUCUAACAUAGAAGUUAGACUACAGAGA